GUUGGGUUUGGUGGAGCACGCCUGUAAUCCCAGCUACUCAGGAGACUGAGGCAGGAGAAUUGCUUGCACCCAGGUGAUGGAGGUUGCAGUGAGCCAAGAUGGUGUCACUGCACUCCAGUCUGGGUGACAGAGCAAGACCCUGUCUCAA
ensembl:misc_RNA Metazoa_SRP Metazoan signal recognition particle RNA